rnacentral:rRNA from 1 species
CCUACGGGAGGCAGCAGUGAGGAAUAUUGGUCAGUGGACGAGAGUCUGAACCAGCCAAGUAGCGUGAAGGAUGACUGCCCUAUGGGUUGUAAACUUCUUUUAUAUGGGAAUAAAAUGUUCCACGUGUGGGAUUUUGUAUGUACCAUAUGAAUAAGGAUCGGCUAACUCCGUGCCAGCAGCCGCGGUAAUACGGAGGAUCCGAGCGUUAUCCGGAUUUAUUGGGUUUAAAGGGAGCGUAGGUGGAUUGUUAAGUCAGUUGUGAAAGUUUGCGGCUCAACCGUAAAAUUGCAGUUGAAACUGGCAGUCUUGAGUACAGUAGAGGUGGGCGGAAUUCGUGGUGUAGCGGUGAAAUGCUUAGAUAUCACGAAGAACUCCGAUUGCGAAGGCAGUUCACUGGACUGCAACUGACACUGAGGCUCGAAAGUGUGGGUAUCAAACAGGAUUAGGUACCCUAGUAGUC